rnacentral:rRNA from 1 species
ACUCCUACGGGAGGCAGCAGUGAGGAAUAUUGCGCAAUGGAGGCAACUCUGACGCAGCCAUGCCGCGUGCAGGAAGACGGCCCUACGGGUUGUAAACUGCUUUUAUCCGGGAAGAAUCCCCAGUUCGUGAACUGGGUUGACGGUACCGGAGGAAUAAGCACCGGCUAACUCCGUGCCAGCAGCCGCGGUAAUACGGAGGGUGCAAGCGUUAAUCGGAAUUACUGGGCGUAAAGCGUGCGCAGGCGGUCUGUUAAAGCGAGAUGUGAAAGCCCGGGCUCAACCUGGGAACUGCAUUUGGAACUGGCAGGCUAGAGUUUUGUAGAGGGUGGUAGAAUUUCAGGUGUAGCGGUGAAAUGCGUAGAGAUCUGAAGGAAUACCGGUGGCGAAGGCGACCACCUGGCCAAUAACUGACACUGAGACGCGAAGGCGUGGGUAGCAAAACGGGAUUAGAUACCCUGGUAGGCUCUGC